rnacentral:rRNA from 1 species
UUCGAUGCAACGCGAAGAACCUUACCUGGUCUUGACAUCCCGGAGAACCCUUAGGAAACUAGGGGGUGCUUCCAUCUGGAAGAAUCUGGAGACAGGUGCUGCAUGGCUGUCGUCAGCUCGUGUCGCGAGAUGUUGGGUUAAGUCCCGCAACGAGCGCAACCCUUGCCUUUAGUUGCCAGCAGUUCGGCUGGGCACUCUAAAGGGACUGCCGGUGUUAAACCGGAGGAAGGUGGGGAUGACGUCAAGUCCUCAUGGCCUUUAUGACCAGGGCUACACACGUACUACAAUGGCCGAUACAAAGGGCAGCGACACUGCGAGGUGAAGCCAAUCCCGUAAAAUCGGUCUCAGUCCGGAUUGGAGUCUGCAGCUCGACUCCAUGAAGUUGGAAUCGCUAGUAAUCGUGGAUCAGCAUGCCACGGUGAAUACGUUCCCGGGCCUU